rnacentral:rRNA from 1 species
UCGAGAAUCUUCGGCAAUGGGCGAAAGCCUGACCGAGCGAUGCCGCGUGCGGGAUGAAGGCCUUCGGGUUGUAAACCGCUGUCAGUUGGGAGGAAGGGCCGAUGAAGAAUCGGCUUUGACCUAUCUUCAGAGGAAGUCCGGGCUAAGUUCGUGCCAGCAGCCGCGGUAACACGAACCGGACGAACGUUAUUCGGAAUUAUUGGGCUUAAAGGGUGCGUAGGCGGCUUGGUAGGUGGGGUGUGAAAUCCCUCGGCUCAACCGAGGAACUGCGCCCCAAACCCCCAAGCUUGAGGGAGACAGAGGUAAGCGGAACUGAUGGUGGAGCGGUGAAAUGCGUUGAUAUCAUCAGGAACACCAGUGGCGAAAGCGGCUUACUGGGUCUCUUCUGACGCUGAGGCACGAAAGCUAGGGUAGCGAACGGGAUUAGAUACCCCCGUAGUCC